rnacentral:rRNA from 1 species
AGUGAACGCUGGCGGUAGGCCUAACACAUGCAAGUCGAACGGCAGCACAGUAAGAGCUUGCUCUUACGGGUGGCGAGUGGCGGACGGGUGAGGAAUACAUCGGAAUCUACUUUUUCGUGGGGGAUAACGUAGGGAAACUUACGCUAAUACCGCAUACGACCUACGGGUGAAAGCAGGGGAUCUUCGGACCUUGCGCGAAUGACUGAGCCGAUGUCGGAUUAGCUAGUUGGCGGGGUAAAGGCCCACCAAGGCGACGAUCCGUAGCUGGUCUGAGAGGAUGAUCAGCCAAACUGGAACUGGAACACGGUCCAGACUCCUACGGGAGGCAGCAGUGGGGAAUAUUGGACAAUGGGCGCAAGCCUGAUCCAGCCAUACCGCGUGGGUGAAGAAGGCCUUCGGGUUGUAAAGCCCUUUUGUUGGGAAAGAAAAGCAGCAGGUUAAUACCCCGCUGUUCUGACGGUACCCAAAGAAUAAGCACCGGCUAACUUCGUG